CACUUUUACGUCAUGUACUUCCGGCCGUGGCUACGUAAGGGCCAUUCCACUUCCGCCCCACUUCAGACCCACCUUACAUCACGAUUUUCGCGGUGCCAGGCCUUGGCUAGCUACUUCCUCAGCCACCGCUGGACUACCAGGAAGACCUCGCCCCUCCGCAUCAGUCUCCACUGCUGCCCACGCGCUCGCACUGACUUCUCAGCCUUCGCCGCCUUCGUGCUUGCCGCAACCGCCAUGGCUGCCGCGCCCCAGGGCAACCACAACUACCGGCCCGACUGUGAGGCCGCAGCCAACGUCCAGAUCCAGCUGCAGCUCGAUGCCUCCGACGUCUGCCUGUCGCUGGCCAUCUACUGCGACCGCUUAGACGACGCCCUGAGUCACUUCUCGCGCUUCUUCCUGCGCAGAUUUCACCAGUGGAGGGAGCUCGCGGAGAACACCCUCGACCCGAGCCUCCUGGAGCUGCGCCGCCUGGCGGCCAGAAAGAGCGACCAUCGCCCCUUGACUUCCUUCUGCGUCACUGGCUGUUUCCCCAAGCCUUCCACCUUGCUCAAGAUGGAGCCCUCGAGGGAGCGCCUGCCCAACUACUCUUUCAUCGACUCAGCCUGGAAGACGGCAACAAAGAGGACUGGGCGCGGACUGUCGCCAGGGUGGUGGGGUCCUCCCGGGGUUGCCAGGCACACUUCCCUAUUACCGUGUUCCUUUCUGUUAGACUGUUGCUUCCAAUAAAGUUACUUGGUUGUUAACGUAAAAACAUUUUUUCUUAAGUUUAUUUGAAUUUGAGGGAGAGGUUUAUGCAGCAGAUUGUAUUUAUAAAUAUGACUAAGACAAUACCUCCCAGAUCUCUUCAGAAUUCUUGCCAUAUCUCCAUUGAGAAGUGGAAUCUAAUUUCCUUCCCUUCAGUUUAGACUACAUUAGUUAUUUGAAUUUUAAUGGGAAAGAAAGAGAGAGAG
rnacentral:lncRNA from 1 species